AAACUACUCGCUCCGUCCCAAAAUUCUUGUCUUAGAUUUGUCUAGAUACGGAUGUAUCAAGUCACAUUUUAGUAUUAGAUACAUCCAUAUCUAGACAAAUCUAAGACAAGAAAUUUGGGACAGAGGGAGUAGUUG
rnacentral:pre_miRNA from 1 species